rnacentral:rRNA from 1 species
AAAUGAAUUGACGGGGGCCCGCACAAGCGGUGGAGCAUGUGGUUUAAUUCGAAGCUACGCGAAGAACCUUACCAGGUCUUGACAUCUUGCGCUAACCUAAGAGAUUAGGCGUUCCCUUCGGGGACGCAAUGACAGGUGGUGCAUGGUCGUCGUCAGCUCGUGUCGUGAGAUGUUGGGUUAAGUCCCGCAACGAGCGCAACCCUUGUUACUAGUUGCCAGCAUUCAGUUGGGCACUCUAGUGAGACUGCCGGUGACAAACCGGAGGAAGGUGGGGACGACGUCAGAUCAUCAUGCCCCUUAUGACCUGGGCUACACACGUGCUACAAUGGCCGGUACAACGAGCAGCUAACCCGCGAGGGUGUGCAAAUCUCUUAAAGCCGGUCUCAGUUCGGACUGCAGUCUGCAACUCGACUGCACGAAGUCGGAAUCGCUAGUAAUCGCGGAUCAGCAUGCCGCGGUGAAUACGUUCCCGGGCCUUGUACACACCGCCCGU